GCGCUUCGGGAUGGGCUCGCGGCCUAUCAGCUAGUUGGUGGGGUAACGGCCCACCAAGGCUUUGACGGGUAGCUGGUCUGAGAGGACGAUCAGCCACACUGGGACUGAGACACGGCCCAG
rnacentral:rRNA from 1 species